CAUAAUUGUAGCCUCUUUCCACAAAGUUCUGAAUCAUGCUAUCAAUAUGGACAAUAGCAGUUUCCUUAGUGCUAUAUGUACGCACAGCUCGUAGAAAUUGGGAGUAAGCUGUCUACACUGUGCAAGGAAGGCGUACUGAAUCUACGGCACCGUGUCAACAUAGCCAAGAGAACGUUUUUUUUCUUAACUUUCAAUCUGGACUGUAGCUGAGGUCCGUGGCCGGAGACCCGUCGAGCCGCACCAGAUCCCUGGAGACAGCGUCAGCUGUCUACACUGUGCAAGGAAGGCGUACUGAAUCUACGGCACCGUGUCAACAUAGCCAAGAGAACGUUUUUUUUCUUAACUUUCAAUCUGGACUGUAGCUGAGGUCCGUGGCCGGAGACCCGUCGAGCCGCACCAGAUCCCUGGAGACAGCGUCAGGAUUUAAAGUAUAACACCAUCAGAAGAAGCAAAAUUCCAGAUGUCGUUCUAUACAGUAUAUUAUUACCCUGAUUAGUGUCACUUGCUGUGUUCAGUAUUUAUAAUAAUAAA